rnacentral:rRNA from 1 species
UACGUGGGUGGCAAGCGUUGUCCGGAAUUAUUGGGCGUAAAGAGCUCGUAGGCGGUCUGUCGCGUCGGCUGUGAAAACUCGGAGCUUAACUCCGAGCCUGCUUCCGAUACGGGCAGACUAGAGGUAGGCAGGGGAGAGCGGAACUCCUGGUGUAGCGGUGGAAUGCGCAGAUAUCAGGAAGAACACCGGUGGCGAAGGCGGCUCUCUGGGCCUUACCUGACGCUGAGGAGCGAAAGCGUGGGUAGCGAACAGG